rnacentral:tRNA from 4 species
GCACCUCUAGCUCAGCUGGCAGAGCAGUGGACUCUUAAUCCAUUGGUCCUGGGUUCGAUCCCCAGGGGGUGCACCA